AUACUUACCUUGUUGCGAUCACCGAGCUCAAAGUUUCGGCUGAUCUUCGAGUCUGGUCUGCAUUUGCACAGCGCGGCACUGGAUUCGUACGAGCUUCCUUCGGGGAUCUCGGCGGCGCAAUUUUUGCUGGUCUAUCUUUUGAUAGCU
rnacentral:snRNA from 19 species